UGCAAGUCGAACGAGUUCUGAUUAUUGAAAGAUGCUUGCAUCUUGAUUUAAUUUUGAACGAGUGGCGGACGGGUGAGUAACACGUGGGUAACCUGCCCUUAAGUGGGGGAUAACAUUUGGAAACAGAUGCUAAUACCGCAUAAAUCCAAGAACCGCAUGGUUCUUGGCUGAAAGAUGGCGUAAGCUAUCGCUUUUGGAUGGACCCGCGGCGUAUUAGCUAGUUGGUGAGGUAACGGCUCACCAAGGCAAUGAUACGUAGCCGAACUGAGAGGUUGAUCGGCCACAUUGGGACUGAGACACGGCCCAAACUCCUACGGGAGGCAGCAGUAGGGAAUCUUCCACAAUGGACGCAAGUCUGAUGGAGCAACGCCGCGUGAGUGAAGAAGGCUUUCGGGUCGUAAAACUCUGUUGUUGGAGAAGAAUGGUCGGCAGAGUAACUGUUGUCGGCGUGACGGUAUCCAACCAGAAAGCCACGGCUAACUACGUGCCAGCAGCCGCGGUAAUACGUAGGUGGCAAGCGUUAUCCGGAUUUAUUGGGCGUAAAGCGAGCGCAGGCGGUUUUUUAAGUCUGAUGUGAAAGCCCUCGGCUUAACCGAGGAAGUGCAUCGGAAACUGGGAAACUUGAGUGCAGAAGAGGACAGUGGAACUCCAUGUGUAGCGGUGAAAUGCGUAGAUAUAUGGAAGAACACCAGUGGCGAAGGCGGCUGUCUGGUCUGUAACUGACGCUGAGGCUCGAAAGCAUGGGUAGCGAACAGGAUUAGAUACCCUGGUAGUCCAUGCCGUAAACGAUGAAUGCUAGGUGUUGGAGGGUUUCCGCCCUUCAGUGCCGCAGCUAACGCAUUAAGCAUUCCGCCUGGGGAGUACGACCGCAAGGUUGAAACUCAAAGGAAUUGACGGGGGCCCGCACAAGCGGUGGAGCAUGUGGUUUAAUUCGAAGCAACGCGAAGAACCUUACCAGGUCUUGACAUCUUUUGAUCACCUGAGAGAUCAGGUUUCCCCUUCGGGGGCAAAAUGACAGGUGGUGCAUGGUUGUCGUCAGCUCGUGUCGUGAGAUGUUGGGUUAAGUCCCGCAACGAGCGCAACCCUUAUGACUAGUUGCCAGCAUUUAGUUGGGCACUCUAGUAAGACUGCCGGUGACAAACCGGAGGAAGGUGGGGAUGACGUCAAAUCAUCAUGCCCCUUAUGACCUGGGCUACACACGUGCUACAAUGGAUGGUACAACGAGUUGCGAGACCGCGAGGUCAAGCUAAUCUCUUAAAGCCAUUCUCAGUUCGGACUGUAGGCUGCAACUCGCCUACACGAAGUCGGAAUCGCUAGUAAUCGCGGAUCAGCACGCCGCGGUGAAUACGUUCCCGGGCCUUGUACACACCGCCCGUCACACCAUGAGAGUUUGUAACACCCGAAGCCGGUGGCGUAACCCUUUUAGGGAGCGAGCCGUCUA
rnacentral:rRNA from 1 species